rnacentral:misc_RNA from 1 species
GAUGAAGAACGUAGCAAAAUGCGAUACUUGGUGUGAAUUGCAGAAUCCCGUGAACCAUCGAGUUUUUGAACGCAAGUUGCGCCCGAAGCCUUUUGGCCGAGGGCACGUCUGCCUGGGCGUCACGCAUCGCGUCGCCCCCCACAAUUCUCCGUAAAGGGAACGUGUGUUUUGGGGGCGGAUAUUGGUCUCCCGUGCUCAUGGCGUGGUUGGCCGAAAUAGGAGUCCUUUCGAUGGACGCACGAACUAGUGGUGGUCAUAAAAACCCUCGUCUUUUGUUUCGUGCUGUUGCUCGCAAGGUAAACUCUUUAAAAACCCCAAUGUGUCGUCUCUUGACGACGCUUCGACCGCGACCCCAGGUCAGGCGGGACUACCCGCUGAGUUUAAGCAUAUCAAUAAGCGGAGGA